GAUGAACGCUGGCGGCGUGCCUAAUACAUGCAAGUCGAACGCUGGAAAUCUAGCUUGCUAGAUUGAAGGAGUGGCGAACGGGUGGGUAAUACAUAAGCAACCUACCCACGAAGACUGGGAUAAUCUCUGGAAACGGGGACUAAUACCGGAUAGGUAAUCGGAAGGCAUCUUCUGAUUAUUAAAGGUUAAAAACACUGGUGGAUGGGCUUAUGGCGCAUUAGUUAGUUGGUGAGGUAACGGCCCACCAAGACGAUGAUGCGUAGCCGGCCUGAGAGGGUGAACGGCCACAUUGGGACUGAGACACGGCCCAGACUCCUACGGGAGGCAGCAGUAGGGAAUUUUCGGCAAUGGGGGAAACCCUGACCGAGCAACGCCGCGUGAGUGAUGACGGCCUUCGGGUUGUAAAGCUCUGUUGUAAGGGAAGAACGGUAGAUAGAGAAUAUCUAAAUGACGGUACCUUACCAGAAAGCCACGGCUAACUACGUG
rnacentral:rRNA from 1 species